rnacentral:rRNA from 1 species
GUGGGGAAUAUUGGACAAUGGGCGCAAGCCUGAUCCAGCCAUGCCGCGUGAGUGAUGAAGGCCCUAUGGUUGUAAAGCUCUUUCACCGAUGAAGAUAAUGACGGUAGUCGGAGAAGAAGCCCCGGCUAACUUCGUGCCAGCAGCCGCGGUAAUACGAAGGGGGCUAGCGUUGUUCGGAAUUACUGGGCGUAAAGCGCACGUAGGCGGAUAUUUAAGUCAGGGGUGAAAUCCCAGAGCUCAACUCUGGAACUGCCUUUGAUACUGGGUAUCUCGAGUAUGGAAGAGGUGAGUGGAAUUCCGAGUGUAGAGGUGAAAUUCGUAGAUAUUCGGAGGAACACCAGUGGCGAAGGCGGCUCACUGGUCCAUUACUGACGCUGAGGUGCGAAAGCGUGGGGAGCAAACAGGAUUAGAAACCCCGGUAGUCC